rnacentral:rRNA from 1 species
GAUGAUGCCAGCUUGCUGGUGGAUUAGUGGCGAACGGGUGAGUAACACGUGAGUAACCUGCCCUUGACUCUGGGAUAAGCCUGGGAAACUGGGUCUAAUACCGGAUAUGACCUUCCAUCGCAUGGUGGUUGGUGGAAAGCUUUUGUGGUUUUGGAUGGACUCGCGGCCUAUCAGCUUGUUGGUGGGGUAAUGGCCUACCAAGGCGACGACGGGUAGCCGGCCUGAGAGGGUGACCGGCCACACUGGGACUGAGACACGGCCCAGACUCCUACGGGAGGCAGCAGUGGGGAAUAUUGCACAAUGGGCGAAAGCCUGAUGCAGCGACGCCGCGUGAGGGAUGACGGCCUUCGGGUUGUAAACCUCUUUCAGUAGGGAAGAAGCGUAAGUGACGGUACCUGCAGAAGAAGCGCCGGCUAACUACGUGCCAGCAGCCGCGGUAAUACGUAGGGCGCAAGCGUUAUCCGGAAUUAUUGGGCGUAAAGAGCUCGUAGGCGGUUUGUCGCGUCUGCCGUGAAAGUCCGGGGCUCAACUCCGGAUCUGCGGUGGGUACGGGCAGACUAGAGUGAUGUAGGGGAGACUGGAAUUCCUGGUGUAGCGGUGAAAUGCGCAGAUAUCAGGAGGAACACCGAUGGCGAAGGCAGGUCUCUGGGCAUUAACUGACGCUGAGGAGCGAAAGCAUGGGGAGCGAACAGGAUUAGAUACCCUGGUAGUCCAUGCCGUAAACGUUGGGCACUAGGUGUGGGGGACAUUCCACGUUUUCCGCGCCGUAGCUAACGCAUUAAGUGCCCCGCCUGGGGAGUACGGCCGCAAGGCUAAAACUCAAAGGAAUUGACGGGGGCCCGCACAAGCGGCGGAGCAUGCGGAUUAAUUCGAUGCAACGCGAAGAACCUUACCAAGGCUUGACAUGAACCGGACCGCUGCAGAAAUGUGGUUUCCCCUUUGGGGCUGGUUUACAGGUGGUGCAUGGUUGUCGUCAGCUCGUGUCGUGAGAUGUUGGGUUAAGUCCCGCAACGAGCGCAACCCUCGUUCUAUGUUGCCAGCACGUGAUGGUGGGGACUCAUAGGAGACUGCCGGGGUCAACUCGGAGGAAGGUGGGGACGACGUCAAAUCAUCAUGCCCCUUAUGUCUUGGGCUUCACGCAUGCUACAAUGGCCGGUACAAAGGGUUGCGAUACUGUGAGGUGGAGCUAAUCCCAAAAAGCCGGUCUCAGUUCGGAUUGGGGUCUGCAACUCGACCCCAUGAAGUCGGAGUCGCUAGUAAUCGCAGAUCAGCAACGCUGCGGUGAAUACGUUCCCGGGCCUUGUACACACCGCCCGUCAAGUCACGAAAGUUGGUAACACCCGAAGCCGGUGGCCUAACCC